rnacentral:tRNA from 1 species
GCCGAUGUAGCUCAACCCGGUAGAGCAACUGAUUUGUAAUCAGUAGGUUGUCGGUUCAAUUCCGGCCAUCGGCUCCA